GCAGAUCCCAGCUUUCCUCUGCAGUGUGCCAUGCAUGUUCUAAUCUACCGUCUUGCUGUCACCUGGACCAUAGCCAUCUCCUUGUUCUUUUUCUCUUUUAUAAUUCUUUAUUAAACCUCUUUUAAAAGUUAUAAAAUAUGCAGCUAGCAAAAUAUUGUACAUAAAUAAACAGAGGAGAAAGAGGAAAAGAAAAAGUCAAGCUUCUCAUACCACCUCGCUCUGUGUCCCUUCCUCCUGCUGCACCUAAUGUUGAUAAUCUCAGGUAGCUUCUUCCAGACCUUUCUCCUGUUCACACAAAAACAUAAUAAACGUAUUUACGUAUGUAUUUUUUGUUGGCUUUUGCAAGAGCAGUUCCAUGUUUUGCACAUUGAUCUGCAGCUUACUUAUUUUAGAUACUUCAAGAUAUGUAGAUUUAACCUGCUUAAAAGGUAGCUGCUUCCUAAUCCAGUGUGGCUGUUUGGCAGUUUAUUAAAUUAUAUCCCAUGGGACCUGGGCUGGGCUGGAUGCUUCCAGUUUGCUGCUCCAGCCGACCUGUGGGUGUCCUUCUGCCCUGCUCCAUGCCCUGGACCUGUCUGCUCCACCUCAGCGGGUCCUUUGCCCUUGGAUGCCUGGCUGGAUUAAGUUCAUGUGGCACCAUGAGGGGUGGCAGGAAGGGUGGACAGUGAGGUCAGGGCAUUUCCCCCAGGUUCCUUCCUACUGGGUUAGCUACAAGUAGCUCCCAGCCUCUGCUGGAGGCCACGGCUCCCGCAGGCGCCCUGUCUGCACAGCUGCCCUCUUCAGCUCCUGUAGCCACUCCUCCAGCCUCCCUGGGUCUGUGAUGGUAACGCUCUCUGCUGUUGGUGGGUCCUGGAUGCUGCCCAUCCAUUUAAUCUCCCUUAACGCUGCUCACGCUUUGUUCAAUAGUCCUUUUGUUAAACGCCCUUUAAUAUCCCAGUCUGAGUAUUCCAUCUGUUUUCCGGCACCCUGAACGAUAAAGUUUGUUUCUUUUUCUUCCAUUUUUUCCUCCUGCCGCUUGCUACUACUUUCUCUUUCCUUCCUUUACUGUGGGCAUUCAACUUGUAGUUUUUAAUAAAUUCUGCUAUUGUAUUUCAUUCAAUUUCUCAAAGUCCUUCCAGAGCUCCCCAGGGCCCAUGGGAUAAAAGUCAAACCCCACAGCCAGCCGUAGUUUGCAUCCGCCGUUCCAGGAUCCUAGGCACCAGGGACCCCGGCAUUUACGGAUUCCCCCUGCCCUGCAGUUCUUGCAUUGGGACGUUUGGUUCUCCUGGUGAUUGGCCAUGUGACACCAGACCCUGCCCCAAACCCCCUAAGCGUCCAUGUUUUCAUCAGUUCAGUGGGGAGAACAGCCACAGAGGAUUCAUUUUCUUGGAAUGUACCUAGAGCUUCUAAGAGUUUGGCUUUACCUGUCUGUCCACAUCAGCCAUUUUCCCAAGAACCCCCCUCACCCCCCAGCAUGCCUCUGUGGACCCAUCCGUGAUUUCCACAGGAGGAUUUUUCUUCCAUCUCUCUCUCUUUCUCUUAUUUAAGAGACUCUGCUCUUGAGAUCACUUUGAGGUUUACAGAAAAGUGGAGCAGGAAGUCCAGAGUCUCAUGUAGUCCGUCUCGCUCCGCCCACCCGCAGGUUUCCCCUUUUGUUGGCAUGUUGCUUGGGAGGGCAAGCCUCAUUACAACAAGCCUUGACAUGUUACUGACAGAGGUCCAUAGUUGUACAUUAGGAGUCUCUGUUUUUGUUCAGUAUGGAUUUGGACAAGUGCUUAAUGCCUUGUAUCCACCAUUAAAGUGGAUUAGGAAAUAGUUUAACUGCCCUGAAAACCCUCAGUGCUCCGUCCAUUCACCUGUUCACUCCUCCCCCUCACUCCCAGCCUCCCCAGAUCACUGGCAGCCACUGAUCAUUUCACUCUCUCUAUAGUUUUGUCCAUUCCAUUCCAUUCCAUUCCAUUCCAUUCCAUUCCAUUCUAUUCCAUUCCAUUCCAUUCCAUUCUAUUCUAUUCUAUUCUAUUCUAUUCUAUUCUAUUCUAUUCUAUUCUAUUCUAUUGUCUUUUUGUUUUUUUAGUGUCGCACCCACGGUACAUGGAGGUUUCCAGGCCAGGGGUCAAAUGGGAGCUGUAGCUGCCUGCCUACACCACAGCCACAGCAACACGGGAUCCAAGCCUCCUCUGCAACCUAUACCACAGCUCCCGGAAACACCAGAUCCUUAACCCACUGAGCGAGUACAGGGACUGAACCUGCAACCUCCUGGUUUCUAGCGGGUGUGUUACCACUGAGCCAUGACGGAAACUCCUGCUCUCUCCUUUUACUUCCCAUUAUCAUACGUGGUCUUGACGUAUUUUUCCUGCUGUUUCCCCUUUGCUUCCCAAACACCACACAGAACAUCUUCACAGCCGGUGGUCACACAAGUGUACGUUUCGGGAAUGAAUUAUUAAAGGCGUUUAUCCCUAGAAUCAAUGCCUGGUUGAAAUUUCAGGCACUCCUUCCAGAUGAAGUAGGCGUUUGGCUUUUGCACAGGCUGUUGGGCUAACGACACAGGGUCCCAUUUGGACAUAGCUGGCCCCCGGCUUCCUGGUCUGUAUCUGGAUAGAAAGUGUUCACCCACAGCACAGGGAGGGGAGGCCUAAAAGGAACAAGGCACAGCAAAGCAAAAACAACAACAAAAAAAUAAACAAAAUACAGCACUCUCACAUGAGUCCAGAGCAAACGUGGCCAUGAAUGACAGACAUCUCUGAAGCGCUGACUUCUCUUCAAUCUGUGUUCUACUUUCCAUGUGAGUCCCGAACAGCACAUUUCUCAGGCAUUUAUGUUCAGUAAGAAUAGCCGCCUCACGUGGGUACUGUCAUUUGGAUUGGCCUUUCAUCGUACGUCUCCAGGAUCAGAGCACUAAUGCAGAAGGGGUAGCACCGUCGUGGAAUUAGUAGUAGUCGUGGAAUUUGCAAGGCGGACCACUUACGGAGCUUCUUCUAAGAGCCCGACCCUGCAUCCUGAUGUUGAAUUCUCACAGAGCCCUGGAAGGUGGACAUUGUUGUCUGUACUCUGCAGGUCGCUAAGCGGGCCUUUUGAGAGAACGGCACCUGCACUCAGCUGAGGUUGCUGAGGCCCGGAGGGAUCAAGUCAUGGGCUUAAAGUCGCACCGAAGUCCCUAGCGGAGAUGCCAGUGCAGCUCAGACUUCCAGACUCCCUUGGCUGCUACCUAAAUGCUGAGUGGCUUUGCAAACCGCCAUCAGGGCUGCUUUCCAUCCAGACAGCCACUGUCCUAUUUUUCCCUCCCCAAAGCCCAGCUGAAGAGGGACCACGUUUUUGUCUUUGACCCGGAUGUGGCACCUCCUACCUUCUGAUGAGGUGUGUUUGUUCUCACAGUACAUCUCCCUGCCCCUGCCCUCUCCCUCGUCCUCAUGAACCUCCCGACCCAGUGAUCCUUCGUAAUCGCCAGGAACCCCGUCCCUCCGCUGCGCUGCCCAGCACCUGCUGGUCCCUGUGACGCAGCCUCGAGCCCUGCUCUUCCUUCUCACAAGCCUGCAUCAGCAGUGUUGGUCCGUGUUGGCCCAUGUUUCAAGAGCAGGGAUGGUAAUCCUGCACUUACAUGAGAUGGUUUCAGUGAUUCUGGAAGCGGGCAUUAAAUAACAUCAAACCCCAUGGAGAGAAAGUGCAUCCCCUUCCUAAUUCUUUUUCUAACCUUCUGAACAGAUCAAGGGAAGUUUUAGGGUGGGGCUGGUUUGUCUUGAACACCCCCCUCCACCCCCUGACAUGGAGUAGUCUUCCUUUUGACAAAGAUAGCAGAUCUGAGCUCAUCCUUCAGAACCCUUUUGAGGGCAACAGAAUGUAGCUAGAAUUUCAUGAUGUUUUUAUUGUAGUCAUUCCUAGAUUUACUAUUUUUGGUAAAUGAUACUGGCUUAGAAUUUAUGGGAGUCAGGCAGUGUUGACUUUUAAAAUACACUUAUUUAAGGAUAAUAUUAAGUCAAUAACAGAACAGUUUGUACCAGGGUAGGUCCAAUAUCAUGAAAAUAGCACAGCAGUGACUGGGGUCUGGGCUUCACAGGCCCAACCAACCUUCCUGCUUGGGGGGUGGGUGGGGGUUAUGGUCCUUCUGUCCAUCCCCAGGUCAUCCCUCCCCCCACCCCAUCCCCUGGGUAUCUACUUGGGCUUAUCCGUGUCUGGAAACCUGUUCAAGACUGGGAGACUGUUAUCAAGGGCUGGGAUUAAGAUGCCAUCCACACUUCACUCCCCCACUCCAGGGCGGCCCACAUAACCCGUCUGGCCCUUGAAGUUCUAGUUCAGAAGACUGAGCGGCCACCCCGCCCUGAUUAAUUCUGCCCUUGGCACCUGUUUCCUCUGCGUCACUGCUUCUCCUGCCUUGUGUUCUGUCCCUCCACGGCCAACCAGAUCCCCUAAGGAAGGUGAAGACAGCGCCCACUGUUAGGCAUUCUGCUUCGUGGGCUGUGUUUUCAGGGAGUGACCCGGUGAACCUCCGUGGGGCUCGCUUGGCCCUGAGUAUGUCCGGGUGGUUAGAGGGGAGGCCGAUGUUUCUGAGGCCCGUGUGUAGCAGCUCUGAGGGUUGGAAUAGCCACCCCUAUAAAACUGUGCCCAGUUUCAGUAAAGACUCAGAGCCAAGAAACAGUCUUCCCUUCAAGGUGUCUUAUUUUCUCCCUGACCUCACUCUGUCUCUCCCUCUCAACGGCAUCUCAAGGUCAAUGGCAUCUCAUGUCAGUGAGGGGUCUAGAAAGAGACCCAUGCGUUGAGCAGGGAGAGUGGGUUUGGGGCAGGUUGAAGCCUUCACCACCUGCUCCUCCUUCCUGCGGGAAGAGGGCGUGUGGAUUGUCACCGCCUCACCGAGGCUUGUUUCCAGGGGAAGUUUGACCUGGAGGGGCUGUGGGAACUGGCCUUGUGGGGUGGGCUUAAAAGGAGAAGUCUUGGCUGACCUUGGCUGCCGGGGGCAGGAGCUGUGAGCAGUUGCCGGGGCUUGCCUGGUGUCUCUGGGAUCCCGUUCAUGACGAGAUCUGUUAGAUUUUGAUACCGAAGUGUUAGUGCAGUUCUUGAGGAGUGGUGAGAGGGUCGUUGUACAGUGGCCAGUGAUGACUGUGAGGACGGAUACUCGUGAUGGUAGCUCACAUGACCUGGGCAUCUACAGCAAAGGCCAAGCGGAGACCAGCCCCUUACACAUAGGAACCCCCGUAAUCCUAACCAGCAUCCCAAGAGAAAGAUGUCAUUGGCCCCCAUGUCACAGAGGAAGUGGCUGAAGCCCAGAGAAGUCACUUAUCUAAACACAGCUAGUGUUCGUUCAAGAAUUCAGACUCGUGUCUGUGUGUCCUACUCAAGGUUGCACAUUUAUUGAUUGAUUUUGAACACUGUAAAUCAGCUUGAAUGGAAAAAAAUAAAAGCCAUUAAAAAAAAAAA
rnacentral:lncRNA from 1 species